AGAGUUUGAUCAUGGCUCAGGAUGAACGCUGGCGGCGUGCCUAACACAUGCAAGUCGAGCGAUUCUCUUCGGAGAAGAGCGGCGGACGGGUGAGUAACGCGUGGGUAAUCUGCCCUGUACACACGGAUAACAUACCGAAAGGUAUGCUAAUACGAGAUAAUAUGCUUUUAUCGCAUGGUAGAAGUAUCAAAGCUCCGGCGGUACAGGAUGGACCCGCGUCUGAUUAGCUAGUUGGUAAGGUAACGGCUUACCAAGGCGACGAUCAGUAGCCGACCUGAGAGGGUGAUCGGCCACAUUGGAACUGAGACACGGUCCAAACUCCUACGGGAGGCAGCAGUGGGGAAUAUUGCACAAUGGGCGAAAGCCUGAUGCAGCAACGCCGCGUGAGCGAUGAAGGCCUUCGGGUCGUAAAGCUCUGUCCUCAAGGAAGAUAAUGACGGUACUUGAGGAGGAAGCCCCGGCUAACUACGUGCCAGCAGCCGCGGUAAUACGUAGGGGGCUAGCGUUAUCCGGAAUUACUGGGCGUAAAGGGUGCGUAGGUGGUUUCUUAAGUCAGAGGUGAAAGGCUACGGCUCAACCGUAGUAAGCCUUUGAAACUGGGAAACUUGAGUGCAGGAGAGGAGAGUGGAAUUCCUAGUGUAGCGGUGAAAUGCGUAGAUAUUAGGAGGAACACCAGUUGCGAAGGCGGCUCUCUGGACUGUAACUGACACUGAGGCACGAAAGCGUGGGGAGCAAACAGGAUUAGAUACCCUGGUAGUCCACGCCGUAAACGAUGAGUACUAGCUGUCGGAGGUUACCCCCUUCGGUGGCGCAGCUAACGCAUUAAGUACUCCGCCUGGGAAGUACGCUCGCAAGAGUGAAACUCAAAGGAAUUGACGG
rnacentral:rRNA from 1 species